rnacentral:rRNA from 1 species
UACGUAGGGUGCGAGCGUUAAUCGGAAUUACUGGGCGUAAAGCGUGCGCAGGCGGCUUUGUAAGCCAGAUGUGAAAUCCCCGGGCUUAACCUGGGAAUGGCAUUUGGGACUGCAAGGCUUGAGUGCGGCAGAGGAGACUGGAAUUCCUGGUGUAGCAGUGAAAUGCGUAGAUAUCAGGAGGAAUACCGAUGGCGAAGGCAGGUCUCUGGGCUGACACUGACGCUCAUGCACGAAAGCGUGGGGAGCAAACAGG